UCACCUUUUCCUCUCCUCGCUCCAGUCCUCCCCGGCGAGAGAGAGAGAGAAUGGCGUCGCGGUUCCUGACCUGAUCCAAAGCCCUAGCGCAAGCCCUCGCGCGCGCCGAAGCGGCCUCUUCGUCGCCGCUCGCCAGCGCCCGGUCUCGCAGAGCGCUCUCUCCACUCUUCCCUAGGACCCGGUCGCCGCUGUCGCCGGCCCUUCGCCGCGGCAACCGUCGGUCCGCUCCCCUCUCGACCUCUCCAAGAUUCUGGGGUAUGAGCGAAUAUCACGACUCAGUGGUGCGCAAUUACCUCGUUGGUUUUCUACUGGAGCACGAGCAUCCAAUAGAUCUUCUGUGCAGCAGGUGCAGGAAGGCGCCUCCGCAAAGGUGACAGCAUUCAGCCCAUUGGAAGCAAGUAUCGCCAAACCCAGAAGCGAUCCAUUGAGAACUGAAAGCUUGAAAGCGAGGGCAAACGAGGUAGUUACAAGUACUACAUAUUACAUGAUCCCGCCUAUCCUUCUCGUAUCAAGGAAUGGUGUCAGAACUUCUGUUAUAGUCAUGUCAGUGUUCCAUCAAAUCUACAUGUUCCACAAGGAGAUCCUUUGCCCUCAAAAAACAAGGAGAUCCUUCUGGACUAUGUCCACAAUGAGGUUACCAGAAAGUGGGCCUUGAUAUACAUCAAGAUUCUCCUGCUGAUCAUGGCUAAGGACACAUUGGUCUCCUUCGGUUCCUAUGGGCUUUGAUAUACUUAAAGAUUCUCCUGCUGAUCAUAGCUGAGAAGACAUUGAGUCUACUUCAGAAGAAGUUGUUCAAACAAACAGGGCGUUUGCUAUGGUAGUUUCUCCAUAGAUGCAUUAAGCGCCGGAUAUAAUGAAAAACUAAUCUGCAACUGCCGGUUCUUCUGUUACUAUCUCUUUGCUGGCCUUUUUUAUGCUUGUUACUUGGAUUGUCUAGUGUCGUGCUGAAGAACUUUCCACCGAGUAAUCCCCCGUAAACCGAGUGAUGUUAAUAUGGUGACAAGUUUAUGGUAGUUUUGUAAUAAUGGUAAAUAUCGACAGUGAUUUCCGUUAAGUAAUUGCGUGGCUUGCCAAGUUA